rnacentral:rRNA from 1 species
UACGUAGGGGCGAGCGUUGUCCGGAAUUAUUGGGCGUAAAGGGUUCGUAGGCGGUAAUACAUGUCAGAUGUGAAAUACUUGUGGCUUAACCACAUCAAGCAUCUGAAACUGUAUAACCUGAGUGGAGGAGAGGUAAGUGGAAUUCCUAGUGUAGCGGUGAAAUGCGUAGAUAUUAGGAAGAAUACCAGUAGCGAAGGCGACUUACUGGCCUCUAACUGACGCUGAUGAACGAAAGCGUGGGUAGGCAAACAGGAUUAGAUACCCUGGUA